GAUGAACGCUGGCGGCGUGCCUAAUACAUGCAAGUCGAGCGAAUGGAUUAAGAGCUUGCUCUUAUGAAGUUAGCGGCGGACGGGUGAGUAACACGUGGGUAACCUGCCCAUAAGACCGGGAUAACUCCGGGAAACCGGGGCUAAUACCGGAUAACAUUUUGAACCGCAUGGUUCGAAAUUGAAAGGCGGCUUCGGCUGUCACUUAUCGAUGGACCCGCGUCGCAUUAGCGAGUUGGUGAGGUAACGGCUCACCAAGGCAACGAUGCGUAGCCGACCUGAGAGGGUGAUCGGCCACACUGGGACUGAGACACGGCCCAGACUCCUACGGGAGGCAGCAGUAGGGAAUCUUCCGCAAUGGACGAAAGUCUGACGGAGCAACGCCGCGUGAGUGAUGAAGGCUUUCGGGUCGUAAAACUCUGUUGUUAGGGAAGAACAAGUGCUAGUUGAAUAAGCUGGCACCUUGACGGUACCUAACCAGAAAGCCACGGCUAACUACGUGCCAGCCGCCGCGGUAA
rnacentral:rRNA from 1 species